ACCCGUUCAUAUUCUUCCAUCAUCAUGUGCUCUCCCUUCAUCUUGCUGAGUUUCAUCAUCUGUGGCGUGUGUGUUAGCGUGAAUGCCUGUUAGAACUAUGUGACGGGGGGCGCGGCCCCUUCAACGAACAAAAUAUGAGGGAAAAUGUGCUCGGUGAGGAGAGAAACCGAGGAAGAACUUUCAUCAUCACGGGCCCCGUGUCGUGGAGCAAUGGCACUGCAUAUCAAGAGUCUAGUGAAAAUAUUCAUCCGUGACCGGCUGCCCUUUUUUUUUUGUACAUUCGAAUUUUCCUCUUUUUUUCUGGUUACUUGUUUCCUUUUUUAUUAUUAUUAUUCGUCACUUCCUCGAACAUGGAAGGCUUCAUGUCUGGAUCUGUUGGUUUCCGAUAUAUCGGCCUGAUUUUCGCGCGGUCCGGCAUUUCGACCCAUUUCGUCCUACUCUUCAAAACAGUCGCGACUCAAGUGCCAACGAUGUGUAUGCUAGUGGACCAGAAAUUUUCCUCUCCAGACGUGGAAAAUUGGAUUCAUUGUUCUUUUAUCCUCCCAUUUAUUUGCCCGUCUUUUUUUCGAUUUACAUUUCAUCCUGAUUGCGUUAAUUCAUUUAUACCAUAAGUCAUUUUUAUUUGAAUGCAAUCCUAUAACAAAGGGAAGCAAAACAACAAGUCUUGCCCUUAAACGCUCAUCUUUUUUCCCCUUGCCCUUAUCAAAAAUUUGUUUACUCAUCCUCUAAUUUCGUUAGAGUUGAUGACAUGCUCUUGUUUAUUCUUUUCUGUUCGCAAUGCCAGGUCUUAUAUGAUCAUGUGAUAACCCUUUUGGUGUAUGUGUGAACGUUUUGGAAACUUCGUUUUGUCAUCAUGAACGACCUGCUGUCCUUUCCCCCCAUUUAAAACAUAUUGAAGAUUUUCUUUAUCAUUGCAAGAGACCAGGACGAAAUAUUUCAUAAUGAGAAGUAGAGAGAAAAGAGGAUCAAACUCUUCCCCCAUUUCUUUUCUUAAUCCGUCUUUAUUAUUAUUAUUAUUAAUUUUUUUCUGGUCUCGUGAUUGCGCUUGCGUGUUUUGGCAACGACUUUCUAUCGGAAAACAAAACUCUCAGGCGAAAUUCUGACAGAUUGAUGCAAAAAGUUUUUAAUAAUAAAAAUAGGAAUAACGAUUAAGAACGCAUAGCAUAAGACAGAGCAAAAAAAGCAUAUUUUGGUAGGGAAAAAACAGAUGCCUUCGUUAUAUAACACACUUCAAAAAAUUAUUUCCUUUCUCCUACUGUAGUUUUCCUUCAGUCAGUUUUCCCAUCUGAUUUUUAAAUAUAUGAAACGAGUGAAAAUAGACGGCAAAAAAAAACAAACAUAACAAAUAAGAAUUCAAUACUCUUGUCAGAGUUGGUAAUUUUUCAUAUCCAUUCGCAAAUACACUGAGUAUUUUCCUUGUA